CGACUGCAUGGAGAUGCGUGGCUCUUCACGGGAACAGCAAGGAACCAGAAUCUGCAUUUCCUGGAAUGCCCCGGAACCUCGCUUUGCUGGCUGGUAAUUGUCUGCCCAGCAGGUGGCAGCAGAGCUGCGUUGCUCCUGAGCACUUUAAGGACAGCACGGAGAUGCGCGGCUCUUCACGGCAACAGCAGAAACUGGAAUCUGCAUUUCCUGGAACGCCCUGGAACCCCACUUUGCUGGCUGGUAAUUGUCUGCCCAGCAGGUGAAGAUGCCUUUGACGCUUCCAGUCGAUGACUUCCCCCCAGUGAUGCCAUUGGCUUUCCUGGCCUCCCACAGUCACCGCCAGCUCAGUUCAGUUGAGCCGUUACCCAAAUCCCCACUCCGUUCCCUUUCCAUGAUCUUCCUGUCACUCUGCCACAAGCCCCCACCAAGGUCAUGGCAGGCAACGUGUGGGAUGCAGCACUCGGUCUCAUUGCAGUUCAUCCCAUCAGCUUCAGCCCAGCGAUCCAACCCACCCGCACCCUUCCUGAGGGCCCUUCUGCUCCCAGGCCAAUCAACGCUUCCUUCUGAUGCCAUCUGCGUUCCUUCCUGGCCACUUUCAGACUCAUGCCCCUUUGUGGCCAUUUUGAGAGUUGCGCUGAUUUCAGCGUCUGCAUUCAAUUGACUUCAACCAAAUUGGCUUUAGCUUUA